UGUGUCCAGGAGGUCCUGCAGGGGCUGCGGCUGCAGUGGGGAGAUCAGUUGUGCUGGGUCUCACCUGUAACAGUGCAUCAUCUGCACUGACAUCGCUGAAGGAAGAGAGCUGUGCUUCCACAUCAAUCCAGAGAAUACAGAGGAGAGCAGGAGCCCUUCUGCAAGGACAAAUUAAACCUGGACUCCGUGUGGAUGGGAAAUAGAAAUGCUAAGAGGCAAGGGAAUGCCACCACCCAGCAUCCUCAGCAAUGUUUUACUUCAGUUGUUUCAUGACACGGGCUGUCUCAGCUCCAAUGCCUGCUCCUUUGGUUCUGCCACACCUCUGCCUUCCUCACACUCCUGCACAUGUGCCACGCAACGUGCUCUGUUUGAAAGACCUUAUUACAUGUGAUAUUGCCAACAGCCCCUGUUCAGAACGCUUCCUACCAGAGCCAUGGCCACUAAUGGUGCUCUUGGGUGCGUGGCCAGCAGCCGGUGAGGGUGCUGCUGUGGGCAAAGAGGCCAAAGAAGGGCAUGGGGCAGAGGCAAAGCUCUGGAUGUCUGCACUGCUGUGUGCACUCCAGCCCCCCCCCAGCUGUUUGCUGGAGCCCCCAGUCCUGUGCUUCCGUGACAAACACUUUUAUAAUGCUUCAUUAUAGCAGGCGGCCGAGGGACAAGUGAGAUGCAUGAGUACAAGAAAAUGAAAUCAGUAUUUAAUUACU